AACGGCUGUGUCACCCGACGCUGGUCUCCAAACCACGUUUUGUCAAGAAAACAAACAUGCAACAGGAAAUUAGGCGACACUACACACGAAAUAGCUGUAGCAGGGAUCUUCUGAGCUACAGAGAGAGCUGGAGGGAGCAGCGGGCAGCCACUGUGCAGCGCCUGGGGACCAACUUCAGAGUGAAAUGCCAGGUGAAGGCUCCAGGUGUUACUGACUGGAGCCUAACAUGUUUUUGAUGGUGGGGAAAAUCGGAGCACCCGGAGAAAACCCACGCAGACACGGGAAGAACAUGCAAACUCCACACAGAGAGGCCGGGACGACCGGGAUUAGAACCCAGGAACCUUGUUGCUGUGAAGCCCCAGUGCUAUCUACUAGGCCACCGUGCUGCCAAAAGGCCCAUAAAGACCAUGGUGCUGCAUGCCUGUCCCCAGGGAGAGGCCAGUGGUCCCCAUCUGAAAGCUCUUUUGCCAGCAGGGGUUUCACAGCAUAGCAUUUCUGCAACAGUCUACCUCUCUAAUUGUGAGAGUGAACACUUCCCAAGGAAAAGGACAAACUUUGACCCCAGAGAAAUACACAGACUAAUAUCUGCUAUUAGGUUUUUGCUCUUUUCUACAUAAAGUCAAUCAUACUGUACAAAAUUAAUUUGUACCUUGUUUCUCUCCGGUUCUUCUGUGUUGUUCUUAAGUGCUGAUAGGGCUGGACUUUUUGAAGCUGAUAAAGGAGUGGACGGGACCUUGUAGAUCAUGUCCAUGCGUUCAUAAGCCGAGCUGCUGGACGGUCGGGGAACACUUGGGAUCUGGGGCCAGGCCAUGCCGUCCAUAAAGAGAGCACAUCCACCAUCCGCUGGUGCCGGCCACAUUUUGAUCCAUCACCGUGAUGAUGUCCCCUUUUCUGAAGGCCAGCUCAUCUGCACACUCUGCAGUGUUGUCAUACAGAGCCUUUGCAAGUUUGUUCUAAAAUAAAGAACAGAGAAAAUGGAAAUAAAACGUAGGGUGAAAACAGCAGGUCGUGUGUGGCACAUUUUAAAUGACAGAAGUUUUUUUUCCUGCUGAAGGCCCAUGACAACAUUUCCUUUUGCAAAAUGUUGCUACGAGUUGCACAUCUGAGUCCUCAUCACAUUCACAAGGAAGUAUUGCAGUCAUUUCAUAAUAAUCAUAAUAACACACAACUAGUUGUCACAAAGUAACUAUUUCCCAUUUAUUUAAAGUGUUUGUGAAACAACAACAACACAAGUGGAGCUCUUAUUGUUUUGAAUGACAUCUUUCCUUCUCUGUAUUUUCACUUCCUAGUUGUGCUUCCUACAGAGAAAUAAAUGGAAAACAAGUUCCUUCAAAGCUUCCUCUUACGUGCUUGCAGGCGUCCUAUCUCCUCAAUCCAAAACUACAUAUACAUAUUUUUAAUCCAAGAAUGAUCACAGACUAUUAUGCAUGGAUGUCCUUUGUAUGUUUCCCUGUAAAGUUGCUGCCAUGUUUUGAGGCAUUCUUCACUGUCACGAAAGGUAGAGCUCAUAAACUGCCCAGCUUUUUUCUCGAUGUGACAAAUCUAAAUCAGACUGGGCAAUGACCACAUACAAGGAAGUGUGAAAUUUUCUUUUACUUCAACCUCUCUGCUGCAGUGGCUUGUUGUGUAGGUAGAGACAAGCUGUGACUAAUAAAACAUGCCUUGCAACCAAAACCACUAGGCAUAGCUGAAUUCACACCCAGCAGGUUGUGGUUUGACUUACUGCGUAGCUACACAGAAAGAAUGGGUGUUCACACUCAGUGGGAACAGAACCAAUGUGUCCCACACCAAAGGCAUGGGUCUUAUCCACUGCACCGCCAUCAUCCUCCAUCUGGACAUUUCAGCAGCAUUUGACAGGGCAAACCACCAGAUCCUCUUCUCCACCCUCCAGGAACUGGCACUGCACUCUAACCCUGUUCACAUCCUACAUCAAAGACUGCACUUACAGGGUAACUUGGAGAGAACGUGUGUCUGAACCUUGUAGCCCCCCUUCUGGGGUCUCUCAGGGUUCUGUUCAGGGUCCUCUCCUCUUUUCUCUCUACACAAAGUCAGUGAUAUACUUGAUAAUUGUUUGCAAUUUUUGGGUCGUAUCCACAUGGUUGAAAAGCACUUACUGUACUUUAGAUGAAAGUCAGCUAAAUAAAUGUAACGCAAACAUUUUAGCUCUUUAGCUUAUAUUGUUUGAUUAUUAUUACUGAUGCAUUAGCAUAUAGAUAUAAUUUUAUGUUGUACAGGUAGUGGAGCUAAAUUUAACUACUUUAUAUACUGUUUGAUAGUUAAAUUCUUAAUCUAUAACAAUGCUUUAUAUUUUAUCAGCAAUAAUAUGUUUGUUUGUAAUCUUAAUCUACAAAGUAACAAUAACUGUCAAAUAAAUGUAAUGGAGUAUAAACUAUUAACUAAAAUAUGUCCCUCUUUAACAUAGUGGACUAAGUAUACAGAAGCAUAAAAUUAUACAAUACAA